rnacentral:tRNA from 1 species
GAAAUCUUAGUUAAUUAAUAACAUUAAUUUGUCAAAUUUAAAUUACUAUAAAUAGUAGAUUUUA